rnacentral:rRNA from 1 species
GUAGGUGGCAAGCGUUGUCCGGAAUUAUUGGGCGUAAAGCGCGCGCAGGCGGUUCUUUAAGUCUGAUGUGAAAGCCCACGGGCUCAACCGUGGAGGGUCAUUGGAAACUGGAGAACUUGAGUACAGAAGAGGAAAGCGGAGUUCCACGUGUAGCGGUGAAAUGCGUAGAGAUGUGGAGGAACACCAGUGGCGAAGGCGGCUUUCUGGUCUGUAACUGACGCUGAGGCGCGAAAGCGUGGGGAGCAAACAGGAUUAGAUACCCUGGUAGUCCACGCCGUAAACGAUGAGUGCUAAGUGUUAGGGGGUUUCCGCCCCUUAGUGCUGCAGCUAACGCAUUAAGCACUCCGCCUGGGGAGUACGGCCGCAAGGCUG